rnacentral:tRNA from 1 species
GGGGGAGUGGCCGAGUGGUUAAAAGCGACAGACUGUAAAUCUGCUGAAGGUUUUCCACAUAGGUCCGAAUCCGGCCUCUCCCA